rnacentral:tRNA from 1 species
ACCUGGGUGGCUCAGUCAGUUGAGCGUCUGACUUUGGCUCAGAACAUGAUCUCACAGUUUGUGAGUUCAAGCCCCACCUUGGGCU